GGUUGUGUGCAUGUAUACAACUAAUUGGUUAGGCUCUGUAAAUGUUUGCAAUCCUGUUAGAUCGUGUUGUGAAGUUUUCACCAAAAAUUUUAGGACGGUGUUUCUGAAAUCACAUGAUUGUUAUUUCAUUAUCUCCGACGCUAGCCCAUAAUGGAGGCUAUUUAACUUAAGGGGUAAAGAAAUUAAAUAAAUAACCUAAUGCUGGAAAGAUACUAUUAGCUACGAGCUGCCAACAUCAAGGAGACGAAUGAAGCCGCACGGAAACUGCUAUUUUGGAAGCUAAAAAGAAGGAGAAGGAGAAGAAAAGAACUACUUACAACUUAUUUAAGAUUUGAAAAAUAAAUAUGGAUAAAUUCAAUUUUUGUCAGGAAAUUUUCGUUAUCAAAUCGAACGCCGGCUUCGCGAACAAAUGACUAUUGAAUUUAUGUCAAUUUGAAUUACUUGUCAUUUCAUUCGGCAAAUAUACGUCGGUGUGAAAAACACGUUUCCAUUAAUGUGACGCAGCUUUUAAUUUUUUUUUUCAAUUUCAAAGGUUUAAACUUUUUUACGAGCAAUGUAAAUAACCGCUUUACACUAUAGAAAUUCAAAAGUCUAAGUUCGCUUUGUAAUUUUAUUGGAAUUAAUAUAAAAAUGAACGUUUUGUUAGAUACAUCGUUUUUUCAAAAUUGUGGCAUCAGUUAUCUAGAAAAAUCGUGUAGCAAAUAUUUAUAAAUUUAUAGUGAUAAAAACUUUCAUGUCAAACUUGAAAUUGUGAUUAAGUAAUUUGAAUGAAUACACUUUGAAACGUGGAAUUAACACUCUACUUACUAAAUGUAAAAAACAAACAGAAAUUAAAUAAGUAUAAACGUGAAAGGAAAAAUUAAGCGAAAAAAUGAAGGUUGGCAUUUCACACAAAUUUGAUUGGAUUUGCGAGGAUUUGUGUUCGUCUACGUCAAAUUCAUCGUGCCACAAAUGAGAGCAGAAAAUCCUCGGACGAAAAAAAGAAAAUAAUAUCACGUCUACUGGAAAAUGGUGUUACUUUUGGAACAAAAGAAUAUAUUUUUCACCACUAAAAUAAAAAAAGGUGUGUGGUGGCCCCCGUGUUCUAUUGCGGACGCGUCAUGCGAGUAAUCGAUUUGUCUGGACGCUGCUGAGCCGUGGCUUUCGUGACUCGGGGAACUUCUACCACAAUGUACGAUAGCUAGACUGCAAAUAUCUAGGACAUAGACAAAUUCAAACGUCUAUCGUCUUCUGCAGAUUUCGUAGAUGCAUUCAGCCAGAUAGAUCCAGUGAGGGCGCUAUUCAAAUGGUUCUGAGUUAAUUCUACGGCAGCUUUGAGCACCAGUCUGAAGAGGACGCUAUCUAAUAUCAACAGGGAUCUAGUUAAUUUUAUAAUAAACCUACAAGUGUUUUAUUUUAUGUCAAAGAAUAACAAAAUUAGUAGUCACUCCUAUUUGCUCUAUGACAAACUCUAUACAAAAAGUGUAAUGCGUUUAGAAUGAAGUAUUUUUAUAGAAACAUUUAUUUUCCACAUCCAUUGAACUAUUUGUUUGCCUCCACUUUUUACAGUGAAAAGUUCGAAUAUAGUUUGAAAACAAACAGAACCUCCUGUUAGCGGUAAGCUUUGGAUGUCGUGAAUUAAAUUUUCAUGUUGUAAAUUAAAAUACAAAUUGAAUUUGUUACACAACAUUGGUGUUGACUAGCGUAAAAUUAACGUUUACUAAUCAGUUAGACUGUUCAGUUAGAACUGUCGGAACUUAAACGAAAACUCUACCUCUUGUUUGUUUUUAUAUAAACACUAGCUAUUCCCGUGCGGCU